UACGGGGGGAGCAAGCGUUGCUCGGAUUUACUGGGCGUAAAGGGCGCGUAGGCGGUCGUGACAAGUCACUUGUGAAAUCUCCGGGCUUAACUCGGAGCGGUCAAGUGAUACUGUCGGACUAGAGUACAGAAGGGGCAACUGGAAUUCUCGGUGUAGCGGUGAAAUGCGUAGAUAUCGAGAGGAACACCUGCGGCGAAGGCGGGUUGCUGGGCUGAUACUGACGCUGAGGCGCGAAAGCCAGGGGAGCGAACGGG
rnacentral:rRNA from 1 species